AACCUCAGACUGCUCCUUGUUCCUGUCCCAGCCUGCCACAGGGUUGGCCAGCUUCUCCCAACUUCGCCCAGAGAUCCAGACACUUGGUGGGGACAUGGACAAAGCAGAGAGCCCCUGACUCAGAAAUCAGCCAAGGAACUGCGGAAACACAGAGGCAGAAAGGUGAUGUCAUCCUGUUCAGCAGCCUGUCUCAGGGCAAGAACGUGUGCCACAACCCAGCUGAGCCCCAGGACUUAACAGAAGGAGAGAUUCCACCCUUCCACAACCCUCUCUGGCUCACUCCUUCCCAUGGCCCGCAUUUCUCCAGGGAAGUCCUUCCUGAGGGCUAACUUAAGUGCCUCCUGCUGUAGCUUCAGCUCCUCACAGGGAUGGAACCCAGAGGACACACUAGGUGUGUCCUCAGGGACUGGUAGGGGAGUAGUGUGGGUGCAACCAGGUGGGGCCACUUUCUCCACAUCUCUCAUCUUUCUUUUCUUUUUCUCUUCUCCACCCCUCAUUCUCUUCCUUUCCCUCCUCUCUCUUCAGUCCCCCACUCCAGCUCCUGGCUGGGAGCCAGCAUUGUUCCUGCCUGGCUGCGGGCUCCCCUUCUCCUUCCCUCCCUGCCCUCUCCAGCCAGCCCAAGGGGCACCAGCCUGCCCAGUCCCUGCUAAGCAGUAGCCCCAGGCUGGGAUGGAAGGAGACCUUUCUGCUCCCAUCCUCUGCUUCCACAUCAUUCUGCCCUUCCAGUCCCCACUGAUGGCCUCCACCCUGACAUAGAAGGCCAAGGAGCUUGGGUUACUUAGGGCCCUUGGUUAUUUUUAAUGCCACCAGCUCAGAAGAUAAAUAUACCUCCACCUGCCCCCAGCUGCCCCAGACAGACCGACACCCCCUCCAGAUCCCCUCCUUCCCCACCAUUCAUCCAGUCUCCUAAGUCUUGACUGGUCUCUAAUGCCUUCUCUUCACAUUCCCUCUUAG
rnacentral:lncRNA from 1 species